AGCCCAUAUUGAGGACAUUUUAGCAGGAGCUCCUUGAAUCUAUCCCAUGUCUCAAAUAGAGACUCCAAUUUUGUUUGUACAAAAGAGGAUAUUUCAUUCCUAAGCUU